AUUGAACGCUGGCGGCAGGCCUAACACAUGCAAGUCGAACGAGUGGCGGACGGGUGGGUAAGGUCUGGGAAACGGCGCGAGGGAGGGGGAUAAGUACUGGAAAAGGUAGCUAAAACCGCAAAGCAUAGGAUGUGCCGAGAUGGGAUGUGCGAGUAGGUGGGGUAACGGCUCACCAAGGCGACGAUCCCUAGCGGGUCUGAGAGGAUGACCAGCCACCCUGGAACUGAGACCCGGUCCAUACUCCUACGGGCGGCAGCAGUGGGGAAUAUUGCACAAUGGGCGAAAGCCUGAUGCAGCCAUGCCGCGUGUAUGAAGAAGGCCUUCGGGUUGUAAAGUACUUUCAGCGAGGAGGCGUUACUCGCAGAAGAAGCACCGGCUAACUCCGUGCCAGCCGCCGCGGUAAUUC
rnacentral:rRNA from 1 species